rnacentral:lncRNA from 10 species
CUCUGGGAGAGAAAGAGAGUCUGUAAACCAGACUCCACCCAGACUCUGGACUCAUAAUACAUGAUGCUUACUAAACGGUUUUCCCAGAUGGUCCGUAGGUACCCCAAAAUCAACCUGUAUAUUAUAGAAUUAACUUUGCUUGUUUAUCCUUACCAAGGCUAUCCAAUAAAUCAAGAGGAUGCUGUGUCCUUUUCUCUCACCUGUGAAGACCAAUCCAUCAAUUCGUUACCAAGUUCCACAAAUUCUACUCUCUAAGAAUCUAAAUUCUCUCUCCAUCUUCACUGCACUUCCUUAGUUCAAAUUCUCCUAAUUUCUCCCCAAAUUAAAGCAAUGACCUUCUGAAUAGUCUUGAUAUUCUCUCCCAGCCCACUUACUACAGUACUGCCCAUCUGAUCUUCACAAACAUAUAUUUGAUCUUCUACCAAAAUUUUUGCUGUGGUUUCACAGUUUCUUGAAGAGCUUAGAUUUCUGAGGUGUUAUACAAUGUUCAACCUUUAUACUUUUAUGCUGCCAUAGAUAAGUACAUAAAAUUAUCAUAAUGUGCCAUGACAGCAUUAAGGUAGUCAAUGCCUUGGGCUUUUCAUAUUCCCUGUGACUACAAUGCCCUUUCCCCAUCCUUCAAUCCACACUAACCCCGUGGUCAACUCUUAGUGAUGCUUAAAUGCUGGGUUCAAGGGUUCUUUGGAAGCCUUGCUGACAACAAUUCUCUCCACACUCAGUACUGAUAAAGAUAGUUUACUAAUAUCAUCUCAUUGUUUAUUAGUAGUAGUAGUAGUAGUAGUCUCAGAGUCUUCCUCUAUUGCCCAGGCUGGAGUGCAGUGGCGUGAUCAUAACUCACUGUAGCCUCAGACCCCAGGGCUAAGUGAUCCUCCCACCUCAGCCUCCCAAAUAGCUGGGAUUGCAAGUAUGAGCCACCGUACCCAGCUUCAUCCUAUUAUUUUGAGUAAUUAGACAUCCUAUCUAGUAAUAAGAUAAGUAAUUUUACUGGUGUCACUUUGGAGGUAACUGGCUUCAGAUAAGGUUAUUGAAUUUCAUAGUCCAUUAUUUCAAUUUACCUACAAUUAUCAGGGCAAAUAUAUAGAAGGAACAAAAUUGAAAAACAAAUAAAAAUAAAUAAAACAAUUGUGAGAGCAAAUAAACACAAAAACAUCCUAUCAUCGUAGACUUCAUUGCCUGUGUAUCUUAAUGUGAAUAUCAUGUACUGUUUUAUCAAGCUUUAAAUCUGAGGAAAUGGAAUCUGUGAAAACUGCCUAAUUUGUUAAUUUGCAUGUGAAGUAUACUGUUACCAGGGAAGGGUGAAAAACGGAUUUGGCGCAUGUAGUUUACUAACUCUGAGAGGAUAACUGGUGUUAGUUUCUGCUGCUGUAACAAAAUUGAUUUGGCCUUUAUUAUACCUCCUAUUAGAAAAUUACUGUGAAAAACCGCAUACUGAAAAUGUGAGAGCGCUUUGUAAUGAAGAAUACAUUUUAUGUAGCAAAGCAGGAAGCAGUGACACCAAGUCUUAAUGACACUUUAUAUUCUGCCAGUGUACUUAGACACAACUUUCUCAACUGCAUAAUCUAAAGUAAACAAAAAUCUUAUUCCAUUAGGGACACAAUUUGACAAUUGAAUUUUUUGGUGAACUUUUGGCAUCCAUUGAAAGAAUUGGCUGCAACCCCAGAGAUGGGGUUA